GACGAACGCUGGCGGCGUGCUUAACACAUGCAAGUCGAACGGAAAGGCCCUGCUUUUGUGGGGUGCUCGAGUGGCGAACGGGUGAGUAACACGUGAGUAACCUGCCCUUGACUUUGGGAUAACUUCAGGAAACUGGGGCUAAUACCGGAUAGGAGCUCCUGCUGCAUGGUGGGGGUUGGAAAGUUUCGGCGGUUGGGGAUGGACUCGCGGCUUAUCAGCUUGUUGGUGGGGUAGUGGCUUACCAAGGCUUUGACGGGUAGCCGGCCUGAGAGGGUGACCGGCCACAUUGGGACUGAGAUACGGCCCAGACUCCUACGGGAGGCAGCAGUGGGGAAUAUUGCACAAUGGGCGGAAGCCUGAUGCAGCAACGCCGCGUGCGGGAUGACGGCCUUCAGGUUGUAAACCGCUUUCGCCUGUGACGAAGCGUGAGUGACAGUAAUAGGUAAAGAAGCACCGGCUAACUACGCG
rnacentral:rRNA from 1 species